UGGGUUUCACUUUUGCAAAAGGAGGGAGACUUUAUCCUCGUCCCCCCCCAAAAAAAACCCCUCAUUUUUUAAAAGGAAAGAAAAAGAAAUGCCCCGCACAGGAAGUUUUCAGAGAAGCUUUUGCACCCAAUGCUCAAUGCUGGCAGAGGCUCUACGGUUGUUUAAAAUAGGGGGGGGGGGUUUCCCUACCUGGAGAUGCCAGGAAUUGAACUUGCAGUGCGAAAGAGCUGCCCCUGGUUUUGCAUGGGGGGGGGGGCUUGUCUUGGGCUGGUGCAAGUUUGGGAGCUCACCUUUCCACAGGAGGGAUCAGAUCCUCAGCUGCCUGCCUUGGGAAAGAUGGAUUUGGAAAAGUCACAGCAUGAAAAAGAGCCUGCAUGCAAUUUUAUGGUUGGAAGUCCCUUGCUCUGUGGGGGAAAGAGAGAGACUUAGGAAAACAUCUAACAGCCCAAAUCGAGAGUUGGUUUUGUCUGAUAAGCACUUCAUGAAUACGAAUGCAAUAAUUCACAGGCAAGAGGUGAACUUGUGAGGUUACCCACAAAGUGAGACACUUUUUGCGGCAGGAAUUCCAAAAGGAUUUAUGAGGAGCAUUUCCUGAAGUGUCACAGUGUUGUGUUGCAACGUUCUUGGGAAUUUAAACACCAUCACUGGCAAAGUGGCAGGCAGUUGGGCCACCUGAUUGCAGUGUGCAUCCAGGGUGACAUGAAUCUCUCAACAGCAUUUUGGUAGAGAGCUUGAGAGUUGCUCCUGUUCAACAGGCAGGGCCCCUGAAUUCGAUGCUGAGGAUCCCCUUGAGGAGAUUGAUACCUGACAAAGAGCCCAGGCUUUCCAUGAUGCUGUAAACAUCACCAAAAAACAACACCACCUUCCUUCUGUCCUGAAUCUUCCAACAUUCAGAGUUUGUGAUGACUCUAGUUUCUAGUAUUACGACCAAGGUAGAAAAAGUUCCCUAUCUACUUUGUUGUUCUUGUGAGCUCGCCAGAGGCAUCCGACUCUCCUCUGUUAGAAAUGGGUUGCAGGGCAAGAUGAAUCUUUGGUCUGAUCUGUUCUUCCAUUCUGAUAAGACGAUGGCAACAACACAGAAGGGAUGCAUUUCAUAUGUGAAUUAGCCAACAGGCAGAACUUUCUGAUCUGCCAGGCAUCAAGUGCUUAGUAAUCAAAUAAUAAACAAAGGUAUGGGCACAUGUAUAUUUUUAGUCAGGCCAAAGAAAAAUUGCAUUAAAUAUUAGGAUGAACUGUUCUGAUAAUGUAAGCGGCAGCAGAAACGGCUGACUAACUAUGGAAUAAAUUUGUCAGUUUAAAUUCUAAGCCAGAACACUUUUGGUAGAGAAUAUUUUUAUUACUAAUAGUACAACUAUUGUUAUUAUUUGGACAUUAAUUUAGUAGCUGAGGAUACUGUGCAGUUGUUUGAGCAGUUAUUAAACAAAGUGACAUAUAGGAUUAAUACUGUGAAUUGUCAAGAUCCUGAGGAUUCUGCAUCUUAAAUUGCAUAGGCAGAGACAGACUGUAUUUAGCACAGAGAGUAGUGAAUAGAACUGUCCUUGAACCUGGUGAGAUCUGGGUUCAACUCUGGACUGGGCCAUGAAACUCACUGGAUGGCCUUGGGCCAGUCACUGUCUCUCAGCCUAGCCAACCUCCUGAAGGCAAAAUUAGUUCACUCUUUGCAGAUAUGCCGCCUUCGACUCUUUUCCAGCUAUGUAAUAAAUGCAUAUGCAGUUCAAUCUUGUGCAUGUCUAUUCAGAACAAAUCCUCCCUAAACUCCAUGUGGAUUUCUCCCAGAUGCCUGUGUGUAGAAAAGCAAUCUUAAUUAAUUAAAGGAAUAAAUUGCACUUUUCUUUCCUCCGGAACCAUCAGUAGACUUUUGGCUUCUGUUCUGCACAUUAGGUGGCAAACCUCUCUCAAUUAUUGAUUCAUUUAUAUGGAUCUAUAGCACACAGACCAUGCAAUUCCAGGUCAGGUUAUAUGCAGUUUAAUAUAGCAAAUAUUGUUUGCCUAAUGCAAACAAACCAGGACUUCACAACAUCUGGUUUUGAACUACAACUCCUGUUCACCCUAACCAGUGUAGUCGUUGGUCAGGGAUGAUGGGAGCUAUAUCUUCUCAGCUUAGAGAAGACUGCACUAAAACACAAAACAAAAUGUGUAAAACAGCAAAACCAAACCAGCAAUGAUACUGCAGAAUUAGUGCUGGUGGAUAAUUCUGAUCUUAUCCCAACUCCCUAAAAGAAGGCCUGCGCAAAAAAAGGAUUGUCUUGAAUCACCACCAAUACAUGCACAAUUAUGGGGCCAGGCACACCUUGAAGGGGAGGGCUUUCCACUGCAAAGGAGGUCCUCUCAUGAACCACCACCCCAUGAACUUCACAGCAUGGCAGAUCUAACAGCAGUGCCUCUCCUGCAGGCAAGUCUAUAUGGGAAAGUCAGUUGCUAUAUUGUACUAUUCACUGAGAGCCAGUACAAAGGCAAAAUGCACUGGUAAAUAACUAAUUUUAUUGAAGGAUCACUUUGUGAGGGGGGUCAAGAACAUUUUCCCAUCUGAGAGCCACACUGCCUCCUGGGCAACCUUCAGAGGGCCACAUGUCAAUGGUAGGUGUGGCUAGAGGCAAAAACAAGCUGAGCAUUAAAUGUGAAUGUUACCUUUGUACAGUAGCCUAUUUCUACACACACACAUCCCUCUGCAUCCUCCACACAGACAAGCAAGAAGCAUUGUUAGAGUUCAAGGUCAAAUCCCAGCCAGACAAAGAAGAUUGUGACUUGGAGAAGGUGUGUGGCUUAGAUAAAUCCACUACGCUAAGGCUGAGGUUCCCACUCUUAGGAUAGGAGGUAACACACUAGGGUCAUCACAUUAUUACUGUUUCCGUUCUAUUGUGUUGGCAGAAGGCAGCCAGCUGGCACUCAGUUUGCCUUGGAGUGUUCCACUGCUGAUCCCUAUUCCAAAAUAUUUGACCAAAAUGUUUCUAAAACUAUGAAACCAGAAGAUGCAAGGCUCUGAUAAGAAUACACUUUGAGACGCAAGAGGUUUAGGAAAUGGUGCUAUUCUAGUUUCAACAUAUAUAUUGUAGGGCAUCCAACAGGAAAUAGUCUCCCCCGACCCCCAGUCCCAGACCACAUUCGUAUUUUUAUUUUAUUUUUAUACCACACUUUCCCCCAUGGGAGCCCAUGUGCUGAGCUGCAUAAAAAGCCAAUCUAUGCAAUAAAAACUUACUUAAAAUACAUCCUUUAAAACUUAAUACAAAUAAUACCAGCAACUGAGAUUAUGAUAGACCAGAAUUCCCCAGCCUGUUUUCUGGAUGUUUGCUGCUGCAAAACUCCCACCAGAUCCAGCCAGACCCAACCCAACGACUUCCCAAUGUUUUGGUUUACAUCUUCCAUCAGCCUCAGUCAUUGCAGCUGAACCCUAGGUUGGCAAAUGCUGCAAUACAGAAGAGAUAGAAAUUUGGGUAAACAAAAUAUGACCUCCAUCUGGCUGAGCACCAACAAUACAUGAGACGGACACACUAUCCUGGGGCGGGAGUUCCACAAAUGGGGUGUUGCCAUGGAGAAGACCAUGUCUUGAGUCACCACCCGAAAUGCCACCCUCAUCCGUGGCACCAACACAACUACUGAGCAACUCACAAAGUAUUUGAAAUUUAUAACAUAAGUUAGAUAGUUUGCCCUAUUCCACCAUUUUCUUGUAGGCAUUUCCAACGCAUAGUAAAGGAUUAAAACACCAAAGGUUCUUCCCAUGUUAUGAUCAUGUCUUUGAAUAAACAGAGGUCCUUCGUAGCUAAUCCUGCUAACUGGUAACUUUUUUCCACAAGUGAAAACCCUACUCCAAAAUUACAAGGAAUGUCAAUUCAAUGCUGUACAAUUUUUCCUUAGGGCUCACUUAUUUAAAACAUUUUUAUCUCCCACAAGGCAAAUAAAGGGUCCCAGAGUGACUUGCAAAUGUCAGUGAUAAGAGACUCAAUUCCCAGAGGCUUCCAGUCUAAACAACAUGACAGAAAAGAUACGGGACUGGGGGAACCAGAGAACUAUUUCUUAGUUACAGAGUUCUCAUAAUGACCUUCUGGGAUGGAAAUAAUUUAAGGAGAGGAGCAGCCAAAAGUUCCUGGUCUUUCAGCAGAGCUAACCUGAAAUCCCAUCUCUCUCCCUCUCCUUUAGCCUGAAGAAAUGGCUACUGAUGAUAGCUGGGGGAGGAACCUGAGAGACAGGUUCAACAAUGCAUCCGGUCUAAUUUUUGCUCAGUGAGGGUCAUGUCCUUGUAAAGAUGCACAGGAUAGGAUCUCCGGCUGGCAAUUAUGUCAUGCAGGCCAUCAUUGGACAACAUGGGAAAUGUCUCCUCUUGGAGAUUAGGCAGGAACUGAGUUUUUGGUGCUUCCAGUGUGCUGUAAAAACUUAGCUAUUUGGCUCAGGCAUUUCCAGACUGUACGGCCAGUUUUCAGCACCCUGACUGCUGUAACUGAUAAUAUUUUACUGAUAUGGUUUUUACAGAUAGGUUUAAGAUUUGUUCUUAUAUUAUGUGUCUGGCUUGGGGAGGGUUUUUUGUUUUUGUUUUUCGCUUGUAAACCACUUGGGUACUCUCUAGAGUAAAAGAUGGUAUAGAAAUAGUAAAUACAGAAAAAAAAGUUAUUCUGGCAAUAUCUAUCUGCUAUCAUAAGCAAAUUUUCGAAGUCCAUCUAGACCUUUAAAAAAAAAAGUUUACUAUUAAAAUGACAUGCAAAUCCAGAUCAUAAUUUUUAACUGGAUGUUUAAAAUGUUUGCAUCGUUUUUAGAAAUGAAGCUCAUUUCAUGGUUUUUACACUUUUUUAUUUAUGGUUUUCACUGUUUAUAAUUGUGUAUUUUUAAGUUUUAUAAACAAACUUCAUUAAAUCUCAUGUAUACGCAGUCAAUAACUACAAAAGAUAAACUCCAUAUAAUAAAUACAUUAUAAAUGUUAUAGUUAAUGUUAUAUCACAUAGAAAAAACUGCCGUUCAAAAUUUAUGUUAUAUUUAUUUUUCAUAAAUUCAAUAAGGUUUCAUUUAUCUCUCAUAUUUUCUCUUUCUUGUGUGCCUUCUUUUACUCUAAUCAAUUUCAUAAGCUCAAACAUUGUUACCCCCACAAAUUUUUGGUCAACCACUCUUUCACUGUUGGUGGUAACCUAUUUUUCCUUUUUUGUGUGCAGCUAGCAUGCAAGGAAGUACUAUUAAAUUCCAUAUUAAAUCCUUAUGGUUUAUUUGUGUCUCUAAAUGCCUUAAUAAAAUUAUCAGGGGUCCAAUGGUAAAAUGUAAGAUGUUAUUAAUGAUAUUAUCUUUACUACUUCUCCCCAAAUGAUUUAAACUAUUGCACAGGUCCACCAAAUAUGUCCCAUAUCCUUUUUUAAAUAUCCACUUCGCCAGUCCUUUCCAUCACACAUUUUAAUGCUUAUAUUGUUUUGAUAUUUGGAACUGUUUUUAAUUGUUUUUAUGCCGUUGUUUUAUGGUUGUAAACGUUUCAUAAAUGUAUAUUUUAUUGUAACCCAUACUGGGACCUUAUGGUAAAGGGUGGAGAAGAGAUGUUAAAUGUUUUAAAUUAUUUGAAAUUUGCAAUUAUUUAACAUAAUUUUAUUCUUUUUCUUGGCAAGGCUCCCGUGUCUUUAACAGCAACUUGACAGGGAGACAAGAGAAACGUUUCCUGGAGUGAUGGACAAAAGCAGAAACAGUAAAAUAAAAAAAAAUAAUGUUAACAACCCUA